rnacentral:rRNA from 1 species
AUACGGAGGUUGCGAGCGUUGUUCGGAAUUAUUGGGCGUAAAGAGCAUGUAGGCGGUCUGUUAAGUCUGGUGUGAAAGCCCGGGGCUCAACCCCGGAAGUGCAUUGGAUACUGGCAGACUUGAGUAUGGGAGAGGAAAGCGGAAUUCCGAGUGUAGGAGUGAAAUCCGUAGAUAUUCGGAGGAACACCAGUGGCGAAGGCGGCUUUCUGGACCAAUACUGACGCUGAGAUGCGAAAGCGUGGGGAGCGAACAGGAUUAGAAACCCCGGUAGUCC